AGGGUAUUUACUUUCAAAUUCACCUUGAUAACAAGGAAAAUGGGAUUCAUUUCGCUGAAUAUGUGCAUCAUGAAGAAAUUGAAGAAACCCAGAUAUAUUUUCAAGAACAAAUGGACAUUUAUUGAAGAAAGUAGAAGAAGCAGAUGACAAAUAAUUAAGAUAAUGAAGUUGUGAAUAAAACACCAAGAAACUUAGCCUCUAACGACAGAACCAAUGGUAUACCUAAACCACACAGUUCUUUGAAGAGGACAUCAAUAUCAACACUGUUAAAUGCUCCAGAAAUAUCAAAAAAUACAGCAACAAGACAAUCUUUAUUUACAACACUAUUACAAAUAUCUAAAUGCAAUUGACAGAAGCUUUCAUGUGCAGAUUUACCUUUACGAAAACCAUACUGAUUGUCAGAUAUUAAAUUAUAUUUUUCAACAAAAAAUUCCAAUCUUUGUUUUAACAACUGUUCAAAAAGUUUACCCACGCAUGAAGUGAG